rnacentral:rRNA from 1 species
UUGACCUCGGAUCAGGUAGGGAUACCCGCUGAACUUAAGCAUAUCAAUU